rnacentral:rRNA from 1 species
GGAAUAUUGGACAAUGGCCGAAAGGCUGAUCCAGCCAUGCCGCGUGCGGGAAGACGGCCCUAUGGGUUGUAAACCGCUUUUGUUGGGGAGCAAUAAGGGUCACGUGUGACCCGAUGAGAGUACCCAGCGAAUAAGCAUAGGCUAACUCCGUGCCAGCAGCCGCGGUAAUACGGAGGAUGCAAGCGUUAUCCGGAUUUAUUGGGUUUAAAGGGUGCGUAGGCGGCGUGUUAAGCGUGAGGUGAAAUGCCCGGGCUCAACCUGGGGACUGCCUCGCGAACUGGCUGGCUUGAAUGCUCCUGCCGUGGGAGGAAUGUGUGGUGUAGCGGUGAAAUGCAUAGAGAUCACACAGAACACCGAUUGCGAAGGCAUCUCACGAAGGGGUGAUUGACGCUGAGGCACGAAAGCGUGGGGAUCAAACA